UUAUACCCACACCAGUUGCAGAUGAGAACAGAGCUUUUGGAGGACAUUUUUAACAAGUGGAAUCAAGAUACUAAAGCAUUUCUUUGAAGAAUUGUAAUAGAAAAUGACACAUCGCUUUACCAGUGUGAUCCUGAAGACAAAACACAAUCAAAAAAGAAUUUGGAAGCUGUCCUGUUUUCUGCUUGUUCUGAGAAUAAGUAACUCCAUUCGGGUAAAUGAGAUGUGACAUGCUGGAUAUCGUGUCUGCUCUUCUCUGUAACUGGCUUUUCUCUGCCAUCUUGCCAUUCAUCCGAGAACUCUGCUUGGCCCCAGGACCUACCUGAAAUCAUUGAUCUGCCACCAGUAGACUGCCCAAGCUGCUUUUACUGGGCUCCUCUGUAUCAAGUGUGAUCCAAUUACACCAAAAAUAUCAGCAACAAGACAUGGGACGUCCUCGAGACAAGCCUGCCAUCAGGGUCUGGAACCAUUUGUUCUUAUUCUGCAGGCUUAUCUUACUUCAACAGCAAUGUUUGAAGACCCUUUUCAAUAGCAUUUUCAUUUAAAUAGACUUUGAGCCCCAAAGCUGAUUUUAACCAAGUUAAGAUACACAAAGCACAAUUUCUGCCAUCCUCUCUCUUCAGAUUCAGUGGAAAUGUCUCAGUCUCCUCAACUGUGAUGAAACUUAAGGGAGAAUAAAAAGAAAUUAUUUGUAUUGAUUUUUCUGGGGCCAUGGUAUACAAGGAUUAAAACAAAACUACCUGCAUCACUAAGAAUUGCCAUGAAUUCAUCCAAAAUUACCUAUUGUAAAAAAAAAAAAAAACAUGAAACAACAUAGAAUCAAACCUAAACAAAACCAGUGUUCCAGCAACAGAAUCAAUUUUAGAAUUUCACCAUACAGCAAUUGACUUCCAUGAAAUAUAUGUUAAGCAGUAUUUUCUUCCAAACAUUAAGCACGUAAUUACGACAAAGCUAUUUUCCCUUACACAGAGUUUUAAUGAACUCUACCUCA